rnacentral:rRNA from 1 species
UACGGGGGGGGCAAGCGUUGUUCGGAAUUACUGGGCGUAAAGGGCUCGUAGGUGGCCAACUAAGUCAGACGUGAAAUCCCUCGGCUUAACCGGGGAACUGCAUCUGAUACUGGAUGGCUUGAGAUUGGGAGAGGGAUGCGGAAUUCCAGGUGGUAGCGGUGAAAUGCGUAGAUAUCUGGAGGAACACCGGUGGCGAAGGCGGCAUCCUGGACCAACACUGACACUGAGGAGCGAAAGCCAGGGGAGCGAA